rnacentral:rRNA from 1 species
GAUGAACGCUGGCGGCGUGCUUAACACAUGCAAGUCGAACGAUGAAGCCCAGCUUGCUGGGUGGAUUAGUGGCGAACGGGUGAGUAACACGUGAGUAACCUGCCCUUAACUCUGGGAUAAGCCUGGGAAACUGGGUCUAAUACCGGAUAGGAGCGUCCACCGCAUGGUGGGUGUUGGAAAGAUUUAUCGGUUUUGGAUGGACUCGCGGCCUAUCAGCUUGUUGGUGAGGUAUUGGCUCACCAAGGCGACGACGGGUAGCCGGCCUGAGAGGGUGACCGGCCACACUGGGACUGGAACACGGCCCAGACUCCUACGGGAGGCAGCAGUGGGGAAUAUUGCACAAUGGGCGCAAGCCUGAUGCAGCGACGCCGCGUGAGGGAUGACGGCCUUCGGGUUGUAAACCUCUUUCAGUAGGGAAGAAGCGAAAGUGACGGUACCUGCAGAAGAAGCACCGGCUAACUACGUG